AGUCGUGUGGUGAGCACAAAGCAAACUAUUCUUUCGCCUUUUACUAAAGAAUACCGUGUGCUCGUCAUUCUAAGCGGCAUACGCCAAUUUUUGGAGUACUUGUCCUUGUCGACAAGU